UACAGAGGGUGCAAGCGUUAAUCGGAAUUACUGGGCGUAAAGCGCGCGUAGGUGGUUCGUUAAGUUGGAUGUGAAAUCCCCGGGCUCAACCUGGGAACUGCAUCCAAAACUGGCGAGCUAGAGUAUGGUAGAGGGUGGUGGAAUUUCCUGUGUAGCGGUGAAAUGCGUAGAUAUAGGAAGGAACACCAGUGGCGAAGGCGACC
rnacentral:rRNA from 1 species